GACGAACGCUGGCGGCGUGCUUAACACAUGCAAGUCGAACGGAAAGGCCCUGCUUUUGUGGGGUGCUCGAGUGGCGAACGGGUGAGUAACACGUGAGUAACCUGCCCUUGACUUUGGGAUAACUUCAGGAAACUGGGGCUAAUACCGGAUAGGAGCUCCUGCUGCAUGGUGGGGGUUGGAAAGUUUCGGCGGUUGGGGAUGGACUCGCGGCUUAUCAGCUUGUUGGUGGGGUAGUGGCUUACCAAGGCUUUGACGGGUAGCCGGCCUGAGAGGGUGACCGGCCACAUUGGGACUGAGAUACGGCCCAGACUCCUACGGGAGGCAGCAGUGGGAAUAUUGCACAAUGGGCGGAAGCCUGAUGCAGCAACGCCGCGUGCGGGAUGACGGCCUUCGGGUUGUAAACCGCUUUCGCCUGUGACGAAGCGUGAGUGACGGUAUGGGUAAAGAAGCACCGGCUAACUACGUG
rnacentral:rRNA from 1 species